rnacentral:sRNA from 1 species
AGUCGGGCAAGAUGUCCGCCUGCAACCUCCAGGCUGCCUAAUUCGGUCUCUGCUUUCCCUUGACCACGGAUGUACUGGCACUGUCGAAAGCGGAACCAAAGCGAGGUCAGGCAAAUUGCCUGGCCUUUUUUUUA